rnacentral:rRNA from 1 species
GUGCCAGCCGCCGCGGUAAGACGGAGGGUGCAAGCGUUGUUCGGAAUUACUGGGCGUAAAGCGCGGGCAGGUGGUCUUUUAAGUCCUUUGUGAAAUCCCGGGGCUCAACUCCGGAUGUGCAUAGGAUACUGGAAGACUUGAGACUGGUAGAGGCGAGCGGAAUUCCUGGUGUAGCGGUGGAAUGCGUAGAUAUCAGGAAGAACACCGGUGGCGAAGGCGGCUCGCUGGGCCAGUUCUGACACUCAUCCGCGAAAGCGUGGGGAGCAAACAGGAUUAGAAACCCUGGUAGUCC